UCUCCCAAGUUCAUGACCCACAGAAUCCAUGAAAGAUAAUAAAAAGUAUUGUUGUCUUAAGCCUUUAAUUUAUUAUGCAGAAAUAGCUAAUUGGAAUAAAUGCCAAGGACUAAACUGAGAUUUGUGGUUGUGAAUUUAAAGUGACACUCCUUUUUAGCCAAAUGAUAUCUAAGGCAUUUCUGCAGGGACAAGAGGCUGCACAGUCGCUGCAGGUUUCCCCUCCUUGCUGCAAGGGAGGAGAGAGACAAUGGAGGAGGAAAGGUAGAGGGGAUUGGGCCUAAGGUGUCAGGCAAAGUUGUGUGAACUGGACUCUGUAGGUAACCGGGAGCUACUGAGGGUCCUUCAGUGAGAGAUGUUACAUUCCAUGCAUAGGCUGGGCUCACUCUGGACUUAGCAAUACAGAAUGCAGCCUGCAUCCUUGGAUGAACUGGGGUAUGAGGAGGAGAGAGGUCUCCCCAGAAAGCCUGGCCACAGGUCAGAGGCCUGGGGACUCUGGGCGUAGCUGGACCUUCAGCCCCUUCUCUAUCUGCCUGUUCCUUAGACAUUCAGCCAACUAGGAGAGGGGUGGAGAGUGGUGACCCUCAGUGUUCCCACCUGAAAAAUGGGCGCAUUGGACUUCAGGUCUCUAAGUGGGCUUCUGGCUCUGAGGCUACAGACAGGAAAGAGACAUUUGUGGUCAUAUUUCCACAUACACAUUGCUUCUGGUCAGGACAGAUGCUAGGCUGAGCCCUGGGCUCCGUCCUGGUUGCAGGAGAUGCAGGAAGAGGCCUGGCCCUCACUAUACAAUAGGCCCUGCUCAGGAUUCUUAGGUUCAAAGGAAGAGAAAGCAGCCAGCCAGAGAGGCCUGGAAGUCAGCCUUGCUGCCCCCCUCCCUUGUCACCAUGUACAUCUUGUUUCUUGUCAUGACACGAUGUGGCAGAUGUUUCUUGUCAGCUCUGCCGCUGGUCCCUUCUGUCCACCCCCAUAGCUGCUGCCCUGGUCUCCCCACCACCCCUUCCUGGUCUCACAGUCAGUCUGUGCUGUACACCGCAGCCAGAGGGAGCUUUCAGAUAUGCAGUUCAACCUCAUCAGUUCCUAGUUUAGAAUCCUUCUGUGAAUAUUUGCAAAAUGAGUACCUGACAAAGCAUUCAUAUCCCAAAUAUGUAAAGAACUUCUACAAAUCAAUUAGAAAAACAGAGGCAACCAGUAGA
rnacentral:lncRNA from 1 species